UGUGUGGAAGCCUAAAAACGUGUUGCCCCACCUUGACCAUCAAUAGACCAGAGCUACACCUUGGGAGUAUCCUGGCGUAGCAUUGUUUUUUCUGACUAUAAAAGAGGAGUUAAAAUAUGAGAAAGCAGUCAUUGGUGAAGAACAAGUCAUUGGUGAAGAACAACUUCAGAAUAAGAGAUCAUCUAUACCAGAGAAAAUUAUGAAUACCACAAUGAUUCCAAGGAUUUGCGUGAUUCUGCUUCUGUUUUCUGUAGCUGCAGCACAGACCACAACCGCCGUGUCAACAACUACAACCCCACCAACGACCACAACCACUCCAACAACCACAGCCCCACCAACG